AUUGAACGCUGGCGGCAUGCCUUACACGUGCAAGUCGAACGGUAACGCGGGGCAACCUGGCGACGAGUGGCGAACGGGUGAGUAACACAUCGGAACGUGCCCAGUAGUGGGGGGAUAGCCCGGCGAAAGCCGGAUUAAUACCGCAUACGACCUACGGGUGAAAGCGGGGGAUCGCAAGACCUCGCGCUAUUGGAGCGGCCGAUGGGCAGAUUAGGGUAGUUGGUGGGGUAAAGGCCCUACCAAGCCCGCGAAUCUGUAGCUGGUCUGAGAGGACGACCAGCCACACUGGGGACUGAGACACGGCCCAGACUCCUACGGGAGGCAGCAGUGGGGAAUUUUGGACAAUGGGCGCAAGCCUGAUCCAGCCAUG
rnacentral:rRNA from 1 species